rnacentral:ncRNA from 2 species
AACUUAUCAAGAGAGGUGGAGGGACUGGCCCUAUGAAGCCCAGCAACCAACAUAAAUUUCAUUCAAUUUAUGUAGUGGUGCUAAUUCCUGCAGUUUUUAAACUGGUAGAUGAGGG